rnacentral:lncRNA from 1 species
GCUCAUUUACCUUCUAUAAUUUGUAGUAAACAGACUUACUGAGAGAAGUUGCCCUGUUGCCAGUCAUGGACCUGGAAGAAUCAUAGCUCUCAGGAAUGAACACUCUGAGUACUUGCUCAGAGCAAGACUCAGAUUCAGAGCUGUGGCCAUAUUUCUUCUCCACAGAAAAUCCCUUUGUGAUGAAUGCCUUGAAAAUAUGCAUGUUUUGUGUCACCUUUUCCAAAGUGCUACUUAAGAUAGCCCUCGACAAAGAGAUGAAAAUGGAGUCUCUUCUGACACUUGUUCAAGUUCAAGUCUAAUUGGCUCCAGAAUGCCAUACAAACUGUGGAGGUCCAGUUUCUCCAACCAGAAGAGGACCAAAUAUUCUGCACAAGGUUUUAGAUCAUUGCAUCAUAGCCAUGGCCCUAGGAACAGGAUACAACUUCCCAGGUGUGCUUGAUAAACAAAUAUCACAUACAUGCCUAUUCUUGAGAACAACCAACCGAUCCUUAUCUUAUUUGAUGAUAGGGGACUGACCACCUUUCGCUAUCUCUGGACACAGUGCACGCUGCUUGGAUACAGCAUUUUGUACAAUGGAGUUCAUCCUUGAAGGGAGACAGGACUCUCAGAGCUGAAGGUCUACAGGCCCAGACAAGCUGGGCCCUCCUUGCAGAUGUCUCUUAUAAACUGGAGUCUGGAUAUUUCAAGAGCUUGUCUGCAGAUGCAGGAUGCUUUCUCAGGAAGAUUGGCUUUGUCCAUGCAGGGACAGGGUAAGACAUCCCAGACGUGCUUCCGCCAUACUUCUGGCAGAAGUGGCAUUCACAUUUGAACAUCUCCUGAGAGGAAUAGCGUUUUCCUUUCCUGUCAUUUGGGUGAGAGAGCGACCACAUUUGAUGUCUCUGGACACUGCCUGGACGCCGGAUGUUGUACAAUGGAGAGGGGCCUUGAGGGUAGACAGG